UCCUGACCUCAAGUGAUCCGCCCGCCUUGACCUCCCAAAGUACUGGGAUUACAGACAUAAGCCACUGUACCUGGCCCCCAUCUGGGUCUUAUAAGUGGAUGGACUAGAGACCAAGGAAAGAAAUCAGGUGAAGAAAGGUAUAGCUGUGAUACCGUGUUAUCUCCUUGAAAAUCACUGACAAGAAUGUCAGAUACUUAAAAAAAAAAAAAAAAAAAAAAAACUCUC